rnacentral:rRNA from 1 species
GCGAGUGAAGCGGGAAAAGCUCAAAUUUAAAAUCUGGUGGUCUUUGGCCAUCCGAGUUGUAAUUUAGAGAAGCGUCUUCCGCGCUGGACCAUGCACAAGUCUCCUGGAAUGGAGCGUCAUAGAGGGUGAGAAUCCCGUCUUUGGCAUGGAUGCACCAGGGCUUCUGUGAUGCGCUCUCAAAGAGUCGAGUUGUUUGGGAAUGCAGCUCAAAAUGGGUGGUGAACUCCAUCUAAAGCUAAAUAUUGGCGAGAGACCGAUAGCGAACAAGUACCGUGAGGGAAAGAUGAAAAGCACUUUGGAAAGAGAGUGAAACAGUACGUGAAAUUGUUGAAAGGGAAACGCUUGAAGUCAGUCGCGUCGACCGAGACUCAGCCUUGCCUUGGCUUGGUGUACUUCUCGGCCCGACGGGUCAGCAUCAAUUUUGAUCCUUGGAUAAUGGCAAGGGAAAGGUGGCACCUUUACAGGUGUGUUAUAGUCCUCUGUCGGAUGCAAGGGUCGGGAUUGAGGAACUCAGCAUGCACCUCAUCGGUGUCGGGGCCUCGGCCUACGUUACGUGCUUAGGAUGCUGGCAUAAUGGCUUUAAACGACCCGUCUUGAAACACGGACCAAGGAGUCUAACAUGCACGCGAGUGUUCGGGUGGAAAACCCGUGCGCGUAAUGAAAGUAAAAGUUGGGACCUCUGUCGUGGAGGGCACCGACGCCCGGACCAGACCUUCUGUGACGGCUCUGCGGUAGAGCGUGUAUGUUGGGACCCGAAAGAUGGUGAACUAUGCCUGAAUAGGGUGAAGCCAGAGGAAACUCUGGUGGAGGCUCGUAGCGAUUCUGACGUGCAAAUCGA